CUGGGCUGUAGCUCAGUGGGUUUGUAGCCCUGUGUGCCCUGGAUCUGUCCCUAGGUGUCCCUGGGGCUGCCUGGUGAUGGCUGGGCAAGGUAGACUUUAGGGAAGAGCUGGAGAACUUCAGGACUUCAUGCUUUGGGCAUGCCUGAUGCAACUGUAAGCUGCUGCAACUUUUCAAGAAUUCUUCGAACUAUUAUUUCUUGUUUCCAUCGUAACACCUGGAAAGUGAAGAAAGGCGCUCACUGUGUUAACCAGCGGCUGAAUGCAUGGAAUUAGCACUUGCAAGGUGUGGAGCUUGGGAGUUUUACUGUUGACCAGAACACCUGAAGGAUUUCACCUAUGAUGAAAAACAUUCCCUGCCUCCAAACCUCAGACUCACAAUGAGUAAGGCAGGUUCACAAGGAGGGGAGAGGCAGAAGCAGCUUGUGCAGGUCUGCUGUGGGGCAGAGAACGAGCCCUCCUGCCUGCUGGCACAGCCCAGUGCCCUGGAUCUCUUUUUAACAUUCCUUAAAAUAACAUUUUCUUGAUUUAGCAUCAUUAACAUCUAAUCUUUUUGUGCUUUCAGCUGAAAUUUUGCUCUAAUUUUAAUGUUUAAUUGAUUAAUUUAUUAAAAAAACAAAAACAAAAACAAAAAACAAAAAAACAAAAAACACAACUUUCUCUGGUUACAGUACCUUUACUUUCCUGCAGAAUUGCAAAUUUACUGCUGUAGACCCAGAAUGCAAUUUUGUAAUGCUAUUCAAAUUAUCUAGGAUGUGGCAUAGCACAAUAAUAGUAGUAAAAUAUCAUGAGAUGUUGUAGCCAUACCAGCAAAAUACGGCAGAAGUACUCUCAUACAGAAUACAUUACUUGGAGGCAAAAAUUAAUUUCCCAAAAUGAGAACUCGAUAGCUUGAUUGGUCUUUGCUGACUGCUUUUUGGAACUAGGAUUGUGAUGCGGUACCUUGCUAACUUAAGGCACUCCAAUUUCAAUGAAAUCAAGCUGCUUCGCUGUAGUUUUAGCUUAAUUCUGAGUACUGCAUUUUUGUUUUUACUGUAGUGCUGUAUGGUUAAAUGAUAGCUGGGAAUAAUAUGUUGCACUAACUGCUAGCAAGAUGAUUUACUUACAAUUUAUAACUAUUUAAUACAUGUGAAGAUUAGUGCAAUAUUAUGAUCAUUUUAAGAAGUGACAUUAAUUUCAGUAUUCAAUUUAACUGCAGUUGAACUAUAGAUGUCCAAAUAAAACCAUAUGUUCAGAUCCUU